rnacentral:sRNA from 1 species
CCAAAAAUGAAUUUAAUCUCCGCUAUUAUAUUUUUCAUUGCCAUUGUUGUCGCUGUAAAUUGCCAAUGUCCUCAACGACCAGCGCAACCAACUUGUGGAGAUGACCUACACGGCGGCCAUACUGGCACUAAUUGUUACGGGAGGACAAUGUGGUGGUAUGACCGCGGCACCAACAAUUGCAUGUCUUUCCCAUAUCGAGGCUGUGGUGGCACUCGUAAUCGUCAUUGCUCCAGGGCGGAAUGCCUACGCCUUUGCAGGGUUUAAAAUUGAUUUGUUAAACGAUGAACUGUUCUCCUUGAUUUGAAUAAACUCAAGUGAUGUGGUGGCAAUCUUAA